CCUACGGGAGGCAGCAGUGGGGAAUAUUGCACAAUGGGCGCAAGCCUGAUGCAGCGACGCCGCGUGCGGGAUGGCGGCCUUCGGGUUGUAAACCGCUUUUGUUCAAGGGCAAGGCACGGUCUUUGGCCGUGUUGAGUGGAUUGUUUGAAUAAGCACAUGCUAACUACUUGCCAGCAGCCGCGGUAAUACGUAGGGUGCAAGCGUUAUCCGGGUUUAUUGGGCGUAAAGGGCUCGUAGGCGGUUCGUGGCGUCCGGUGUGAAAGUUCAUCGCUUAACGGUGGAUCCGCGCCGGAUACGGGCGGGCUUGAGUGCGGUAGGGGUGAGUGGAAUUCCCGGUGUAGCGGUGGAAUGUGUAGAUAUCGGGAAGAACACCAAUGGCGAAGGCAGGUUUCUGGGCCGUUACUGACGCUGAGGAGCGAAAGCGUGGGGAGCGAACAGGAUUAGAUACCCGAGUAGUC
rnacentral:rRNA from 1 species